rnacentral:rRNA from 1 species
AGUGAACGCUGGCGGUAGGCCUAACACAUGCAAGUCGAACGGCAGCACAGUAAGAGCUUGCUCUUACGGGUGGCGAGUGGCGGACGGGUGAGGAAUACAUCGGAAUCUACUUUUUCGUGGGGGAUAACGUAGGGAAACUUACGCUAAUACCGCAUACGACCUACGGGUGAAAGCAGGGGAUCUUCGGACCUUGCGCGAUUGAAUGAGCCGAUGUCGGAUUAGCUAGUUGGCGGGGUAAAGGCCCACCAAGGCGACGAUCCGUAGCUGGUCUGAGAGGAUGAUCAGCCACAAUGGAAUUGAGAGACGGUCCAGACUCCUACGGGAGGCAGCAGUGGGGAAUAUUGGACAAGGGGCGCAAGCCGGAUCCAGCCAGACCGCGUGGUGGAAGAAGGCCUUCGGGUGGUAAAGCCCUUUUGUUGGGAAAGAAAAGCAGCAGGUUAAUACCCCGCUGUUCUGACGGUACCCAAAGAAUAAGCACCGGCUAACUUCGUG